rnacentral:tRNA from 1 species
GGGGUUGUGGCUCAGUGGUAGAGUACUUAUCUCUCACAAGUGAGGUCCUGGGUUAGAUCCUCAGCACCACA